rnacentral:rRNA from 1 species
GUGAACGCUGGCGGUAGGCCUAACACAUGCAAGUCGCACGGCAGCACAGUAAGAUCUUGCUCUUACGGGUGGCGAGUGGCGGACGGGUGAGGAAUACAUCGGAAUCUACUUUUUCGUGGGGGAUAACGUAGGGAAACUUACGCUAAUACCGCAUACGACCUACGGGUGAAAGCAGUGGAUCUUCGGACCUUGCGCGAUUGAAUGAGCCGAUGUCGGAUUAGCUAGUUGGCGGGGUAAAGGCCCACCAAGGCGACGAUCCGUAGCUGGUCUGAGAGGAUGAUCAGCCACACUGGAACUGAGACACGGUCCAGACUCCUACGGGAGGCAGCAGUGGGGAAUAUUGGACAAUGGGCGCAAGCCUGAUCCAGCCAUACCGCGUGGGUGAAGAAGGCCUUCGGGUUGUAAAGCCCUUUUGUUGGGAAAGAAAAGCAGCAGGUUAAUACCCCGCUGUUCUGACGGUACCCAAAGAAUAAGCACCGGCUAACUUCGUG